rnacentral:rRNA from 1 species
GACGAACGCUGGCGGCGUGCUUAACACAUGCAAGUCGAACGGUAAAGCCCUGCUCUUGUGGGGUGCUCGAGUGGCGAACGGGUGAGUAUCACGCGAGUAACCUGCCCUUGACUUUGGGAUAACUUCAGGAAACUGGGGCUAAUAUCGGAUAGGAGCUCCUUCUGCAUGGUGGGGGUUGUAAAAUUUCGUCGGUUGGGGAUGGACUCGCGGUUCAUCAGCUUGUUGGUGGGGUGGUGGCUUACCAAGGCAUUGACGGGUAGCCGGCCUGAGAGGGUGACCGGCCACAUUGGGACUGAGAUACGGCCCGGAGUCCUACGGGAGGCAGCAGUGGGGAAUAGUGCACGAUGGGCGGAAGCCUGGUGCAGCAACGCCGCGUGGGGGAUGACGGCCUUCGGGUUGUAAACCGCUUGCGCCUGUGACGAAGAGUGAGUGACGGUAAUGGGUAAAGAAGCACCGGCUAACUACGUG